GACGAACGCUGGCGGCGUGCUUAACACAUGCAAGUCGAACGGAAAGGCCCUGCUUUUGUGGGGUGCUCGAGUUGCGAACGGGUGAGUAACACGUGAGUAACCUGCCCUUGACUUUGGGAUAACUUCAGGAAACUUGGGCUAAUACCGGAUAGGAGCUCCUGCUGCAUGGUGGGGGUUGGAAAGUUUCGGCGGUUGGGGAUGGACUCGCGGCUUAUCAGCUUGUUGGUGGGGUAGUGGCUUACCAAGGCUUUGACGGGUAGCCGGCCUGAGAGGGUGACCGGCCACAUUGGGAUUGAGAUACGGCCCAGACUCCUACGGGAGGCAGCAGUGGGGAAUAUUGCACAAUGGGCGGAAGCCUGAUGCAGCAACGCCGCGUGCGGGAUGACGGCCUUCGGGUUGUAAACCGCUUUCGCCUGUGACGAAGCGUGAGUGACGGUAAUGGGUAAAGAAGCACCGGCUAACUACGUG
rnacentral:rRNA from 1 species